UCCCUGGUGGCUCAGAUGGUAAAGCAUCUGCCUACAAUGCAGAAGACCUGGGUUCGAUCUCUGGGUCGGGAA
rnacentral:tRNA from 1 species